rnacentral:lncRNA from 1 species
CAUCAUUGUUUUCUAAAGUCGUUGCAUGAUCUCAUUAUUCUUUGCUUGGUUGCUACUUAGAAGGUGUUUCAUCAUUUAGUUCCAAAUGCUAGAACUCAUGCCUAUUUCAUUCAAAGCAUACUAUUGAUUGCAAACACAUAUUCAAGAUGAUGUUGUGUAGUGACCACCAAAGCCAAAUUGCCGUGCCCCUAUUUCAUUAUGUGUUUAAGUUUAACCUCGUUGAGCCUUGUUAAUCCCAUGUUCUUUGUUAACCCACACUAUCCUUACCUAGCCUAGUUUUAGGAUCAUCCAUACCCUUGUUCUUGAAGCAUAGUAAAGCAUGACCUAAAAUGAACUCCUUUUUGAUCAAUGUAUUGCAGAAAGCAAGUGUGGGGGAAGUGAUUCUUGUGUGUGUGUGUACCGAAGUCCUUAAUAAGGCAUGGGUAGAAAAAAAAAUUUAUGAAAAAGAGCUCUAAAGUGUUGUUUGUUAAAAAAGGGUCCAAAACAUUGAAUUCGGCCCUAAGUGUUGCAUGAAUCUUCCCUUUGUAUGUAAAAGUUGAUUCUGCAUUUUAAACUGCAUUCCAUGUGUCUAUUUCAUUGCUUAGCUUGCUAUCGCUUUAAGAACGUUUGUUAUUCCUAUCCUUUCUUUGUUAGCCAUUACCCCCAAACCCUGUUACAACCCUUGACUUCAAUCCUGAGUGUUGUGUGUUUCAAUUUGUGGAGUUCAAAAUUGGUAUGAGCAUAUGGUGUCACUGGUUCUCACAUCUAUGUAGUAGCAUACCAUUCAUGAGAUCAUAUCUAAACAUGCUUAAUAACUCCAGAAAAUUGCUUCCUUUGUUAUAACAUAUGUGAGUCCCAGUCUCUAGUGUAGGGUGUGUAGUCAGAAAAUGUGUGUGAAAAUAGAGAGUUUCUUGUAAGGAAUUGAGCAAAUUCUCUAAGGCAUGUUACUACAUUCAAAACAUUGUUUUAAUUGGUUAAUUGUGAACCAGUAAGUAGUGACUGUGAUUAAGUUUGUGCUCAAGUGUGAAGAUAAUCAAAAUCUGUGGGAAUGAUGAUUUUUAACAUGUCAUGUGCAUUGGAAAUCCCUGAGGCAAUUGUUGGAAGGUUAGGUUGUGUUUUGUUUGUUUUGUUUCGUUUUGUUUCUUUUGUUUUGCUCGAGGACUA